rnacentral:rRNA from 1 species
UUAAGCGACUAAGCGUACACGGUGGAUGCCCUGGCAGUCAGAGGCGAUGAAGGACGUGCUAAUCUGCGAUAAGCGUCGGUAAGGUGAUAUGAACCGUUAUAACCGGCGAUUUCCGAAUGGGGAAACCCAGUGUGAUUCGUCACACUAUCAUUAACUGAAUCCAUAGGUUAAUGAGGCGAACCGGGGGAACUGAAACAUCUAAGUACCCCGAGGAAAAGAAAUCAACCGAGAUUCCCCAGUAGCGGCGAGCGAACGGGGAGCAGCCCAGAGCCUGAAUCAGUGUGUGUGUUAGUGGAAGCGUCUGGAAAGGCGUGCGAUACAGGGUGACAGCCCCGUACACAAAAAUGCACAUAUUGUGAGCUCGAUGAGUAGGGCGGGACACGUGGUAUCCUGUCUGAAUAUGGGGGGACCAUCCUCCAAGGCUAAAUACUCCUGACUGACCGAUAGUGAACCAGUACCGUGAGGGAAAGGCGAAAAGAACCCCGGCGAGGGGAGUGAAAAAGAACCUGAAACCGUGUACGUACAAGCAGUGGGAGCACGCUUAGGCGUGUGACUGCGUACCUUUUGUAUAAUGGGUCAGCGACUUAUAUUCUGUAGCAAGGUUAACCGAAUAGGGGAGCCGAAGGGAAACCGAGUCUUAACUGGGCGUUAAGUUGCAGGAUAUAGACCCGAAACCCGGUGAUCUAGCCAUGGGCAGGUUGAAGGUUGGGUAACACUAACUGGAGGACCGAACCGACUAAUGUUGAAAAAUUAGCGGAUGACUUGUGGCUGGGGGUGAAAGGCCAAUCAAACCGGGAGAUAGCUGGUUCUCCCCGAAAGCUAUUUAGGUAGCGCCUCGUGAAUUCAUCUCCGGGGGUAGAGCACUGUUUCGGCAAGGGGGUCAUCCCGACUUACCAACCCGAUGCAAACUGCGAAUACCGGAGAAUGUUAUCACGGGAGACACACGGCGGGUGCUAACGUCCGUCGUGAAGAGGGAAACAACCCAGACCGCCAGCUAAGGUCCCAAAGUCAUGGUUAAGUGGGAAACGAUGUGGGAAGGCCCAGACAGCCAGGAUGUUGGCUUAGAAGCAGCCAUCAUUUAAAGAAAGCGUAAUAGCUCACUGGUCGAGUCGGCCUGCGCGGAAGAUGUAACGGGGCUAAACCAUGCACCGAAGCUGCGGCAGCGACACUAUGUGUUGUUGGGUAGGGGAGCGUUCUGUAAGCCUGUGAAGGUGUACUGUGAGGUAUGCUGGAGGUAUCAGAAGUGCGAAUGCUGACAUAAGUAACGAUAAAGCGGGUGAAAAGCCCGCUCGCCGGAAGACCAAGGGUUCCUGUCCAACGUUAAUCGGGGCAGGGUGAGUCGACUCCUAAGGCGAGGCCGAAAGGCGUAGUCGAUGGGAAACAGGUUAAUAUUCCUGUACUUGGUGUUACUGCGAAGGGGGGACGGAGAAGGCUAUGUUGGCCGGGCGACGGUUGUCCCGGUUUAAGCGUGUAGGCUGGUUUUCCAGGCAAAUCCGGAAAACUAAGGCUGAGGCGUGAUGACGAGGCACUACGGUGCUGAAGCAACAAAUGCCCUGCUUCCAGGAAAAGCCUCUAAGCAUCAGGUAACAUCAAAUCGUACCCCAAACCGACACAGGUGGUCAGGUAGAGAAUACCAAGGCGCUUGAGAGAACUCGGGUGAAGGAACUAGGCAAAAUGGUGCCGUAACUUCGGGAGAAGGCACGCUGAUAUGUAGGUGAAGUCCCUCGCGGAUGGAGCUGAAAUCAGUCGAAGAUACCAGCUGGCUGCAACUGUUUAUUAAAAACACAGCACUGUGCAAACACGAAAGUGGACGUAUACGGUGUGACGCCUGCCCGGUGCCGGAAGGUUAAUUGAUGGGGUCAGCGCAAGCGAAGCUCUUGAUCGAAGCCCCGGUAAACGGCGGCCGUAACUAUAACGGUCCUAAGGUAGCGAAAUUCCUUGUCGGGUAAGUUCCGACCUGCACGAAUGGCGUAAUGAUGGCCAGGCUGUCUCCACCCGAGACUCAGUGAAAUUGAACUCGCUGUGAAGAUGCAGUGUACCCGCGGCAAGACGGAAAGACCCCGUGAACCUUUACUAUAGCUUGACACUGAACAUUGAGCCUUGAUGUGUAGGAUAGGUGGGAGGCUUUGAAGUGUGGACGCCAGUCUGCAUGGAGCCGACCUUGAAAUACCACCCUUUAAUGUUUGAUGUUCUAACGUUGACCCGUAAUCCGGGUUGCGGACAGUGUCUGGUGGGUAGUUUGACUGGGGCGGUCUCCUCCUAAAGAGUAACGGAGGAGCACGAAGGUUGGCUAAUCCUGGUCGGACAUCAGGAGGUUAGUGCAAUGGCAUAAGCCAGCUUGACUGCGAGCGUGACGGCGCGAGCAGGUGCGAAAGCAGGUCAUAGUGAUCCGGUGGUUCUGAAUGGAAGGGCCAUCGCUCAACGGAUAAAAGGUACUCCGGGGAUAACAGGCUGAUACCGCCCAAGAGUUCAUAUCGACGGCGGUGUUUGGCACCUCGAUGUCGGCUCAUCACAUCCUGGGGCUGAAGUAGGUCCCAAGGGUAUGGCUGUUCGCCAUUUAAAGUGGUACGCGAGCUGGGUUUAGAACGUCGUGAGACAGUUCGGUCCCUAUCUGCCGUGGGCGCUGGAGAACUGAGGGGGCUGCUCCUAGUACGAGAGGACCGGAGUGGACGCAUCACUGGUGUUCGGGUUGUCAUGCCAAUGGCACUGCCCGGUAGCUAAAUGCGGAAGAGAUAAGUGCUGAAAGCAUCUAAGCACGAAACUUGCCCCGAGAUGAGUUCUCCCUGACUCCUUGAGAGUCCUGAAGGAACGUUGAAGACGACGACGUUGAUAGGCCGGGUGUGUAAGCGCAGCGAUGCGUUGAGCUAACCGGUACUAAUGAACCGUGAGGCUUAACCUU